rnacentral:rRNA from 1 species
GACGAACGCUGGCGGCGUGCUUAACACAUGCAAGUCGAACGGAAAGGCCCUGCUUUUGUGGGGUGCUCGAGUGGCGAACGGGUGAGUAACACGUGAGUAACCUGCCCUUGACUUUGGGAUAACUUCAGGAAACUGGGGCUAAUACCGGAUAGGAGCUCCUGCUGCAUGGUGGGGGUUGGAAAGUUUCGGCGGUUGGGGAUGGUCUCGCGGCUUAUCAGCUUGUUGGUGGGGUAGUGGCUUACCAAGGGUUUGACGGGUAGCCGGCCUGAGAGGGUGACCGGCCACAUUGGGACUGAGAUACGGACCAGAAGCCUACGGGAGGCAGCAGGGGGGAGUAUUGCACAGUGGGGGGAAGCCUGAUGCAGCAACGCCGCGUGCGGGAUGCCGGCCUUCGGGUUGUAAACCGCUUUCGCCUGUGACGAAGCGUGAGUGACGGUAAUGGGUAAAGAAGCACCGGCUAACUACGUG